AACGAACGCUGGCGGCAUGCCUAACACAUGCAAGUCGAACGAGACCUUCGGGUCUAGUGGCGCACGGGUGCGUAACGCGUGGGAAUCUGCCCUUGGGUUCGGAAUAACAGUUGGAAACGACUGCUAAUACCGGAUGAUGACGUAAGUCCAAAGAUUUAUCGCCCAAGGAUGAGCCCGCGUAGGAUUAGCUAGUUGGUGAGGUAAAGGCUCACCAAGGCGACGAUCCUUAGCUGGUCUGAGAGGAUGAUCAGCCACACUGGGACUGAGACACGGCCCAGACUCCUACGGGAGGCAGCAGCGGGGAAUAUUGGACAAUGGGCGAAAGCCUGAUCCAGCAAUGCCGCGUGAGUGAUGAAGGCCUUAGGGUUGUAAAGCUCUUUUACCCGGGAUGAUAAUGACAGUACCGGGAGAAUAAGCUCCGGCUAACUCCGUG
rnacentral:rRNA from 1 species